rnacentral:rRNA from 1 species
ACGGCUAUACCAUGUUGAAAACACUGGUUCUCGUCCGAUCACCGAAGUUAAGCAUCAUCGGAGGCGGUCAGUAGAGAGGGUGACCACCUGGGAACACGGCGUGCCGUU